rnacentral:rRNA from 1 species
UACGGGGGGGGCAAGCGUUGUUCGGAAUUACUGGGCGUAAAGGGCUCGUAGGCGGCCAACUAAGUCGGAUGUGAAAUCCCUCGGCUUAACCGGGGAACUGCGUCUGAUACUGGAUGGCUGGAGUGUGGGAGAGGGAUGCGGAAUUCCAGGUGUAGCGGUGAAAUGCGUAGAUAUCAGGAGGAACACCGGUGGCGAAGGCGGGUCUCUGGGCCGUAACUGACGCUGAGGAGCGAAAGCAUGGGGAGCGAACAGG